GAAAGUUCACGCAAACAUUAAUUUGAUCACAGUUGCUCCUCUCUUAGCUGCUUGGGGGCAGAUAGACCUUUGUCGAAUGGGUUAUUUUUGUAUUUAUUUACUUUACAUCCUGCUUUUAUUGUUUUUUCAAAACCAGGGGUCCUCAAUCCACACACAAACGAGCAAAGCCCCAUCCAUGGGAUGCAGUCAGCACACAAAACUCUCGGGUCCAUGGAAAAACCUUUCUCAACGGAACCGGUCCUUGGUUCCCAAAUGGUUGGGGGCCUCUGUUCUAAACUACUCAAGGAAGCGAAGGGAUAAUAAAUAGGAUGUCGGCAGCUGACAGAAAAUAGAUGGCCGCUGAAGACUUUUUCCUCUGCAGCCGGUCCUGGCCGAGGGAAGGAAGCCACUUGGACAUCUGCCGGCCUUUAGAUAAAGCGAGGAAAUCAAGGGUGUGCCCGGGAGCUGGGCAGAAGACCUGAAGGAAAGCUCAAAAACAGUUUUUAGCUCAGGACUGGCCUUAACCAAUAAAACUUGGCACGUUUAGGGCUGCCUUAAAGGGCCCGCUCCAGCCUAGCGCUGGCCCUGGGUUCAAGGCAUCCGUCCAUUCGUGAGUCUUCCUCCUCACCAGCCCUGACUCUUUUUCCGUUUCCUGUUUCCCUUUCUCUUCUUCAUCUAAGCCUUACAAAUAUGCACAUAUAUCCUCCAGAUGCGUUAAUAUAAAUAAAACAAAGAAAUGGUUGCAUUCAGUUGCAACGCUGCCAAUGCAAUGGUUGCAUUUCACAUUGCAUUGCGUAACCUGUCUUACCAUGCUGGAUUGAUUUAUCUGAUAAAAAAAACUGAAAAGGGAAAUAAUUCUGUUCUUCUGUGUUCUGAAGAGGAGAUUUCUGGGGUGUCUCGGGAGAGAUACAGGGAGUCCUCGACUUAUAUGACGGCAAUUGGGGCCACAAUUUCUGUUGCUAGCCAAGGUGGUGACUGAAUGGAUCACAUCCAAUUUUACGACCCUUUUUUGCCAAGGGUUUUUAAGUAAAUCGCUGCAGUUGUUAACUUGUUAAGCAAAUUUAGCUUCUCCCAUUGACUUUGCUUAUGGGAAGCUAUUUGGGAACGUCACAAUUGGAGGACCCCUGACCCCAGGAGGCUAAAACCGUUGUAAAUACAUGCCAGUUGCUAGGUGCCUGAUUUUGAUCACAUGACCAUGGGGAUGCUGUAACGGUCGUUGAGUGUGAGGACCGCUCGUCUUUUUUUCAGUGCCGUUGUAAUUUCAAACGGUCACUAAAUAAAACAGUUGUACGUCGAGAACUACCUGGAAUCCCACUUCAGUCCGAAGCCCAGAUUGAUUCAUCCCACCAAUUCUUAUAAAGAGGGGUUUCACCUCCCUUCUUUCAAGAUUGUCCCAGUCUCUAAAAUUUGCCCUGCAAAUAGUGAUCAAGGAAAUAGCAAUUAAAAAUCCGGUGGAGGGAGGUGGAAUUGUGGGCUAGUGAUAAACCAGAAUCAGUAUUUAGUGGCUGCUCAGCUUCAGAUCGCCCUCAAAUAUUAACCAAUUAACCUCUUCUGCUCUGAUGAGGGAGCUAAAUUAAUAUUACGAGGCCCAGCCGGCUGGCAGCUAGCAGCUUUUGCCAAAGAGAACCCAAGGCUUUGCAAAGGAAAAGGUUUAUUUUGGAGAAAAUGUCACCAGAGAUAGCUUGGUGUCCGGUUUUGAAGGUGUUAUGGACAGGGGAUUCUCCUUGGGUGCUUCCUGAGCCCCAAAACGGACCAAACUUGGUUCAAUUUGUUUUCUUUUAUAAGCAGAAGCCUCUUUGGGUACAUCAAGGUCCAAAAUUUAACAGCAGCAAUGCCUUUUAAGAACGUUUGGAAAAUAGCAUGGAGCCCCUUCCGUUUGUUCCAAAAUCCCAAAACCUCAACUGGGCAUCUGCUCUUGGUUUCUCCAAAUCGGCCCCUUACAAGCAGGAUCCGUUUGGCAGAACUUCCUGGUGCAAAACAGGCCGGGUUUCCAGCUGCAAUGCUUUAAAAGGAAAAGGAGGCUCCAGUCCCAAUUUCUUAAUUUAUGGGGAUUAACUCUUACCGAAAAACCGGGUAGAAUGGCCAAUGUUUUUGGCUUCUUCAGUUUUGUGGCUUUUCAUAAGAUUUUUUUUUCCUUUUUUUUCUACGUCCACCCUCCUUUCGGUUACCAGCUGUUGCACCCACAAGCCGUAGCUGCUUUUAUGUCCUACAUACAUGGAUCAAUAUAGAUUAUCCUUGCUUGUUUAGCAACCAAAGUCAGAACAGCACUGGGACUCUUUUUCACACUUUACGACUGUUGCAGCGUCCCUACGGUUGUGUGAUCCAAAUGCAGCCACUGGGCAACUGGCUGGCAUUUAUGACGGUUGCAGCAUCGUGGGUGUCACGUGAUCCACUUUUGUGAUUUUUUUUGACAAGCAACGUCAAUAUCUUUGACGCCAUUGGACACACGUUCAAAAUGGUGUCCUGCCGCUUUAAAUUAAAUUUGUUAGCAAAAAUCUCAAUUCUCUUCUUUCUUUAGGCCAUUUUUUUCCCCUCCGUACCCCAUUUUUUUUCUCUUUGUCCUUUCUUCUCUCUCUCCCUUGCCCCUCUCCGGAACUCAAGCUCUGCAAGAAAAAUGCCUAGCAACAAUUAAGAAUUUCAUUAUGAUACAAUAGGACAGUUAUUGCACCAGCAUAAUUAUUAAGCUAUAAUUGCUAAUUGUCUUAUUAGCAUUUAACAAUUAUGCAAAUAAGGGCAAACAGGCUGUAAUGGCAAUAAAAUGACUCCUUUUAUUUUUACACUAAUAAAAGAGAUUGCAGAUU